UGACUACACACUGGUACAAUUGGAAAUUUUGCCAUUCAUUCUUGGGUUUUCUGUUACGAAUCUUCAUCGAUAUCGCACAAGAUAGUGAAACAACCACGUCCCUUUCAAGGCGGGCAAUUGCUACGUGUGACGAAAGGAACUGUGGACAUGAUCCUCAUAAUAACUCACAUUUUGAACGAACA